rnacentral:rRNA from 1 species
UUGGAGGGCAAGUCUGGUGCCAGCAGCCGCGGUAAUUCCAGCUCCAAUAGCGUAUAUUAAAGUUGUUGCAGUUAAAAAGCUCGUAGUUGAAUUUCGGGGUUAGUAGGUUGGUCAUGCCUCUGGUAUGUACUAAUCUCACUGAUUCCUCCCUCUUGACGAACUGUAAUGUCAUUAAUUUGGUGUUGCAGGAAAUCAGGACUGUUACUUUGAAAAAAUUAGAGUGUUUAAAGCAGGCUUAGGCUUGAAUACAUUAGCAUGGAAUAAUGAAAUAGGACGUUUGAACCUAUUUUGUUGGUUUCUAGGAUCGACGUAAUGAUUAAUAGGGAUAGUUGGGGGCAUUAGUAUUCAAUUGUCAGAGGUGAAAUUCUUGGAUUUAUUGAAGACUAACUACUGCGAAAGCAUUUGCCAAGGAUGUUUUCAUUAAUCAAGAACGAAAGUUAGGGGAUCGAAGACGAUCAGAUACCGUCGUAGUCUUAACCAUAAACUAUGCCGACUAGGGAUCGGAUGAUGUUAAUUUUUUAAUGACUCAUUCGGCGCCUUACGGGAAAC